rnacentral:lncRNA from 1 species
UCACUUCCUGUCUGGAACACCACUUCUCUACUACAUUUCCCAGAAUCCUCUUUGACUCCUAGUCCAGCCUAACCUGCUGUCUCAUUGGCCAAGCAAGUACAUUAUUUAUAAACAUACACAGAAGUAUUUCCCCCAUCACAGGUGGUGCUCUUAGUGGCUGAAACUGAGUGCAUAUCCUGUCAGAACCUCAAGGACAUGCCAGUGCAGAUGUCUGGACACCAGCAAGUAGCAAAGGCCUACUUGGUAUUCAAGAAUCUGUUGGCACUGGUUUUUAUGUGCACUAUGUAUCUCAGUACCUCAUUCUGGGAAGAAUAAUCUGAUAUGCGUGAGUAGAAACUCAAGACUCGAACUUGCACAUGAAGCUACAUACGACAUUGGAUCACUGAAAUUGAUUUCUACUAUUUGACUACCCUCAAAGACAGUUUCGAUGUUAUCUUCAAUAAAAAAAAGAAGCAGAAAUGAAAACGCA